CGCUGACUUGUAUGUCUUGUUCACGCAGGUUCCCCUAGACUCGAGAAUUGCAAACCAUGCAAUCCUGGCUGCGCCCACGCCAUCUUGAACAAAGGUGCCAGCUCGGGCUGUCACCCCUGCCUCUGUGAAAUCGCUGUUGUGCGGAAACCGGAAAGACUGACGGCGGAAGAACCAUCCGGGAACGGCAAUGCAUGAAACAAGCUUGAACAAAAUCGCACGAGAACAACCCGCCGCUCAGCGCAACACCGACAAAGCACACGCAGGAGUGUCCUGCCGAGUUUUGUCUGUCAAGUCAUUUUAUAUGCACCAGCUUUUACCAUGAGCUUUAAUAGCAGAACGCGAUCGUUAUCUUUAUGAAAGAUUUUUAUUUGUAUUUGUGAACGUUAGCAAACAUAGAGAGAUCCCAAUACGCAGAAAAUCACUUCUAUAUUUACACUGUAAAAAGAGAAAAUAAACACGUUGGCCUUUGUUUGUUGCACAA
rnacentral:lncRNA from 1 species